UACGGGGGGGGCAAGCGUUGUUCGGAAUUACUGGGCGUAAAGGGCUCGUAGGCGGCCAACUAAGUCAGACGUGAAAUCCCUCGGCUUAACCGGGGAACUGCAUCUGAUACUGGAUGGCUUGAGUUCGGGAGAGGGAUGCGGAAUUCCAGGUGUAGCGGUAGAAAUGCGUAGAUAUCUGGAGGAAUACCGGUGGCGAAGGCGGCAUCCUGGACCGACAUUGACGCUGAGGAGCGAAAGCUAGGGGAGCAAACGGG
rnacentral:rRNA from 1 species